CUUGGCCAAUAGAACCUUUUACCAAAAAACGGGUUCCAUAUAGAACCCUUGGAAGGCAAAGAACCAUUUUUAUUAAAAUGGUUCUAUAAUUCACGUUUUGUGACUGAAGUGUAAAAUAAAGAUUACAUAAUAAUUGCAGACCUACACAACUCAUUUACAAACCUACACAACUCAUUCACAAACCUUUUUGUGUCAAUAGGUUGUGGUCAAAUAAAGAGAGAGUCAACAAAUAGGCUACUAAUAUUUAGUGUACACUGUAAAAAAUCCAACUAAUGAAAUGUUGGACGGGCAAAAAUAUAUAAGUUAAACCAAUUUUUUUGUUUGAGCUAGUUGAGAAGAUCUGUGUUUAAAACAUUAAGUGAAUGGUUAUUUUCAAAUCCAGUCAAAAUUCAGAAUGGCUAGUGUUGAGUGAACUAAUUAAGACAAAUCAGGUAAAUAUGUGGACUUAUGACAGCUAUGUUUCCUGACAACAAAAUGCUCAUAAUAUUACUGUUAUUUGGUCACAAAAUGUAAUUGUAAGAGUUGUUCAUGCGUGAAUGUAUGUGCUUAAAGUUUAAAUAUGCGGUCGGUUAAUAAAGAUAGCGUAUAUUUAAAAAUGUGCUCGGACACUUUCGGACGUAGAUGAGCUCCAUAUGAGCUCCAGAAAAUCACAGACACUUAAGCGCUCACACCCCGCCCAGCGCAGCCUCUCCUCGGCAAGCCCAUCAGACUGCUGGCUCUGAUAUCUCUGUGGCGUUUAAACAUGCGAUUUAAUUCAUUUUAAUUUCUCAUACUUAACAAUGAAAGGGUUAUGUUUUAAAUCAUAUUUUAGGAUUGCACUUAAUUGAUAUUGCUGUUGAGUGAUGUUUCAUAUCUUUUACAUUUGUUAUAACCGGACUGCAUGCGAAUUUGAACUUCAGAGCUGAAGGAGCGGGUGGAGAAAUAGUCCCAAUAUCAUAACAAUCUUAAAUAAAACUUCUAAAUAUGCCCGUGUGUGUACCCGUGUGCGCGCGCGCUCGUGCGCGCGACCCGCUCGCGCGCGCUUGUGUAUGUACAGUAUGUGCGUGAGUUUUUAAUUUAAAAUGUCUUAACUUAACUCGGAAGGAUCUGAAUCACAGGUCAUUUCAUCUGAGAUCAUUCCGCAUGUAACAGCCGGAAUCACUCACUGUUUCCCACAACGACACAAGUCAUCAGCCGUUUCCUCAAGGUCACGUCAGAGCGGUGAUGAUGAGAGGCAGACCACCACCAUACGCGAAGAUGAGCCUCGAGGCGUGACAGUUAUUUUUUCAAACUGAGGAGUUCGGACUCCGGACCGGCAUUUCUGCUUGUUUGUACCCUGAGGUCUGGUGAGGAAUGCUGCACUUAUGUUAUUGCAAGCAUUAUUUCAAGAAAAUCCCAGCUUCCUUGACUGUGUAAAUAGUCAUACAGCUCCACAUCAAUUAUUAUGAGUCUUGUUGGUUCGAACCCAAAGGUCCCACACCAACCAUAGUGUUCAACGGCUCUCCUGAUCUUCUCAAAUCUGAAAGUAUCAACUUUAUAAUGGACAAUGUGAACUUAAUAUGUGGAAGACAUUGACAUCACAGGCUGUGGAAUGAUGUGUCACAGGUCGGAGAAGCGGACCGCCCCUGUCGCGGAUCACGCUCCUCCUAGUUCCACCUCGAGGAGGUCCCAAAGCACCCCAAUGACCAGACAAACCAGAGAUAAGUAAAAUAUAGAAAUAAAAACUUUAUUUAAAUUAUUUAAAACUAAAGUGGGGAAUGGGAAAGGGAAUCUAAAAAUCUCGCUUCUCGCCCUCAGGGGGAGUAUUACGGGGCCAGGGACGUUGGAGGGGUUUCCACGUGACUCCAGCUGGAACACCGCUACAGAGCGUAUCUGGGUGGGUUGGGCACACACCGUCGCGGCGGCCCCUGAUGGCAUCCACAAAGGUCCAAGACCCUCCUAAGCUCCUAGCCAUAGCAGAACUACGUAUUUCAGCACCCGAAGGACUAACAACCCAGCCGGCAUCUGCAGCGUAUAUCCAACGCGAUCAAACUUCACUCUGACAAGUAACUUCCUAUACACAACCACGCCGUCCUUUCGCCCGGACCAACCCCGCACUCUUUCCGCCCGCUACCUAGCGGUCGCCGGAUCAGCAGAGCCUGCAGACUCUUCGGAGGCUGGUCUUCGUUGUGCUGCCCAAGGCGGAAGUUGACUCGAAAAUCGACCCUUCCAGUAACUUCUACCUUCUCUCUUUAUAUCCUCCUCCAUGGCGUGGCUCGCCCAACCAUCGCUCGCCACGUCACUCACACAGCUGUGCCUUGUUUCAGCGAGUGCGGGGAUUCCCGGGGAACCCUGAAGUGCCGGUGUCAGUACAAACGGUCCGGGCGGAACCUCUUCACUCUCCUUUUGGUUCCGCCCCGCAUAGUCACUCCGUGACAACUGUUUGCGUUUUUUUUUUCUCCUCAAUGUUCAAUACCCUUUUGCCAUUAAGCACACAGUGACUUUAAUUUAUAAAAUAUAUGCUUAAGUUUUAAUACCUGUACAAAACAAAUGUAAAAUCAACUUGUGUAAAUUGUCAUUCUAUUUAAUAGAUUGUUCAUGAAUUGUCUUUAAAUGCAUUGUGAUUUCGGUAACACUUUACAAUAAAGUUCAUUAGUUAACAUUAGUUAAUGUAUUAACUAACUUGAACAAACCAUAAGCAAUACAUUUGUUACAGUAUUUAUUCAUCUUUGUUAAUGUUAGUUAAUAAAAAUUUAAGCUUUAAUUGCUUGUUCAUGUUAGUUCAGAGUGCAUUAACUAAUGUUAACAAGAUUUUAAUAAAGUAAUUGUUGAAAUUAACAUUAACAAAGAUUAAUAAAGGCUGUUCAUUAUUAGUUCAUGUUAACUAAUGUAGCUAACUAAUGUUAACUAAUGAACCUUAUUUUAAAGUGUUACCGUGAUUUCUUUUCAUCAUUUCAGACACAUGUAAAAGUUACUAAAAAUUAGUACUGCAUAUACUGUACAGUAUCUAUGCGUAAGGGAAAUAACUUGAAAUUUUUAAUGUAUAGUGUAAUUAAGAGUUUAGCUGUUUAAUACAGAGAUGCAAUUUAUUUAUAUAUAUUAUUUAUAUAUAAACGUAUGUAUGUUUAUUAAAAAGUGAAAAUGCUUAAUGGAAAUAAUUAAAUAACUAAAUGGUUGAAUGUAAUGAGACAUUUUAAAUGUAAACUAAAGUUUUGCUGUCUAAUACAGAAUAAAGAGAUGUGAUUUUAAGUAAUUUUUAUAGA